GCUAGCGAAAUGUUCAAUUGCUUUCUGAUAGGCAUACCAGUUUGCCGAGUCUAAUUUGGAUAUUACAACUGUUACCACGCUCGAAAUAUGGUCACUGUCAAUCGGCUCGUCGGAUGUCAUCCAUUAGGAGAUAUUAAGAUUUAUGUGGGUUAGGGUAUGUCGGGUUGAGAGGUAGGCACCAUGCGUUAAAGUCACCUUGAAGUAAUAAAAUCUGUUAAGUGAAGUUACUGGUUUUGGUAUGGAAGUUGCAUAUGCUGCGGAAGGUGAUAUGCUUGUUUUCCUAUACUGAUAUAUUGAAGUCAACCAGUAGUGGGCUGAACUUCUUGUCCAUGCCGUGAAGCCAGAAAACUCCUACAUUACAAAUGGAUCACUUCGCCAAGAGGCACUUUGAAGGAAGAGGAACAUUUUAAAUGUCAAUUUCAAACACCUACAAUGGCUGGUGGCUUAUUUGCUGUAAAUCGACAGUGUUUCAAAUAUAUUGGUGCUAACGAUGACGGAAUCGAUAUUUGCAGUGGUAAAAAUAUUGAAAUAUCCUUUCGUGUGUGCCAAUGUUAUGGCACUAUUCGUGUUUGCGUGUAGGACACAUUUUCUGCAAAAGGUGACCCCAUUCAGCGCCCGAUGGUAAGGAUACCACGAAGCGCAAAUCAUUACAUCCAAUACCCAAAUAGGUAAGAGUUUGAAAUAAACUAAUUUAAAUUUAAACAAAUCCACUUUUAAUUUGUAAAUAAGCAAACAAUU